CCUACGGGUGGCAGCAGUGGGGAAUAUUGCACAAUGGGGGAAACCCUGAUGCAGCGACGCCGCGUGAGUGAAGAAGUAUUUCGGUAUGUAAAGCUCUAUCAGCAGGGAAGAAAAUGACGGUACCUGAUUAAGAAGCCCCGGCUAACUACGUGCCAGCAGCCGCGGUAAUACGGAGGGUGCAAGCGUUACUCGGAAUCACUGGGCGUAAAGAGCGCGUAGGCGGGAUAGCAAGUCAGAUGUGAAAGGUCGGGGCCCAACCCCGGGACUGCAUUGGAAACUGUUGAACUGGAGUACAGGAGAGGUAAGCGGAAUUCCUAGUGUAGCGGUGAAAUGCGUAGAUAUUAGGAGGAACACCAGUGGCGAAGGCGGCUUACUGGACUGUAACUGACGUUGAGGCUCGAAAGCGUGGGGAGCAAACAGGAUUAGAUACCCGUGUAGUC
rnacentral:rRNA from 1 species